GAUGAACGCUGGCGGCGUGCCUAAUACAUGCAAGUCGAGCGAACAGACGAGGAGCUUGCUCCUCUGACUUUAUCGGCGGACGGGUGAGUAACACGUGGUUAACCUACCUAUAAGACUGGGAUACCUUCGGGAAACCGGAUCUAAUACCGGAUAAUUUAUUGAACCGCAUUGUUCAAUCGUGAAAGUCGGUUUUGCUGUCACUUAUAGAUUGCUCCGCGCCGCAUUAGCUAGUUGGUAAGGUAACGGCUUACCAAGGCGACGAUGCGUAACCGACCUGAGAGGGUGAACGGACACACUGGAUCUGAGACACGGCCCAGACUCCUACGGGAGGACGCAGUAGGGAAUCUUACGCGAUGGGCGAAUGCCUGACGGAGCAACGCCGCGUGAGUGAUGAACGACUUCGGAUCGUAAAACUAUGUUAUUAGGGAAGAACAAAUGUGUAAGUAACUAUGAACGUAUUGACGGUACCGGAUCAGAAAGCCACGGCUAACUACGUG
rnacentral:rRNA from 1 species